UUCAUAGAAAAUAAAUAUUCCAUCUUUAUCUACCAAACUAAAGGUAGCGGCCUUUAAUUUGCUUUUUGAUACCACUACUUGAUGUUGGCCUGCUCGAUCUGACCGUACAUGCGUGUUAUCAACUGAAGAAAUUUCGAACCACAUUCACACUAAUUACACAUGAUGCACUUGAAUGGUAGUCUAUAAAUAGGAGUGUAGAUAGGAGGAAAAUGGCCACUCAGCACAAACCAUUAAUCAGCAAUCACCAAAAUGAAGGCUAUCAUUCUUAUUUGCAUUCUCUUUGCUUCCCUGCUUAUCUUAUCUCCUGCAAUUACAGCUCGCGAACUGGGUGAGAGUGUUAGUGCAGGUUCUGGGAACCGACCUAGGGAUCCCAACACUAAGGCGUCGGCUAUAUGCGGAAAGCCGGCUGACAAUCCCGCGUAUAGCAAAUGCAUAGCGAAGCAGAAACCAAAGCCCACCAAGUGCACUCGAUACGAUAGGGGCCACUGCAAGCCGGCCACCUAAAGGAACUUGAAUAUGUACUUGACCUGGCGUUUCUCAUGAGAAUUAGAACGUACGUACGCACGUACGGUAGUUGAGAAUAAAAAUAGAGUUUGGUUUGAUAUCAUAAGAAUAAAGCUGUUAGAGCUCUCUCCAGCUCUGCAGUGUGGAGAUAUGUAAAAUCAUGUUACUUAUUUUGAUAUGAUGUACGUGUGCCAAUAAUAAAAGAGCUGAGUAGUUGAUUA